AUGGCAGAAUGCUUCAAUAAGGUGCUCAAGGGUGUACGUGCAUUACCUGUGACGGCAAUAGUUCAAUACACAUUUGACAAGAUGAAUGGAUACUUUUUGAAGUAUUCAAUGGAGACGGAUAAGCAGAUUGCUGGUGAGAACAAGGAUAAGCACAAGUACUAUUUCCCACCAAAGGUUGAAGAAUGGUUGGACUUUCAAUCACGAAAGGCAGACUCCCAAGAAGCUGUACUAUAUGACGACAACGAGUGGAAGUCUGAGGUGAAAGAGCCUGGAGGAACCAGAAAUGAUGGCCACCAACACGGAGGCCGCGCUUUCAAUGUCUCCCUAACACGGUGUGAUUGCAGCUGCAUGAGGCCAUCGUUGCUUCAUCUCCCAUGCUCGCACUUGUUAAAUGCAACCCAUGUUAGGAAUGUGGACGUCAAUCACCCUCUUACCGUGAGGGAGUCCGAGUUCUCAAUCAUGACGGUAAAGAAUACAUGGGCUCCCCGGUUUCAGCCAUACUUGGACCAAUCACAAUGGCCGGAGUAUCAUGGAGUUCAACUAUGGCCGGACCCG
rnacentral:rRNA from 1 species